CACAAUUAUGGGUUCUUCAUUAAAAGUAUUGCACAUUGUUACUAUUUUUAAGAGGUUCUGCGUAAAGGAAUAUUUGUCAUCUAUUACUGACUACUCUGGUUUGGCUCUGUCUCAGCACUCAACAAGAACAAAGAAAGAGAGAAGGACAAAGGGAUCAGGGCAUGUGCUAAGAAACAAAGAAAUGGCUUGGAAAUCCAUUCUGAGUCGUGGAUGGCUCUCAAGAGGGAGAGCCAAGGUUUAUAUUGCCACUGUCCCAGACCCUUGUCCAAGAAUCAAGGCCAUUUUCUGCCAUUUUUUCUUGAAGUUUGGAAUAAAAAGUGCCAAAGAUGAUCUAAAUGGGUCCAGUCUAAAUCCUUUCUUUGAGAAUAGUAUAAUCCAAGUGUAA
rnacentral:lncRNA from 1 species